rnacentral:rRNA from 1 species
UACGUGGGGUGCGAGCGUUGUCCGGAAUUAUUGGGCGUAAAGAGCUCGUAGGCGGUCUGUCGCGUCGGUCGUGAAAACUUGGGGCUUAACCCUGAGCUUGCGGUCGAUACGGGCAUGACUGGAGUUCGGCAGGGGAGACUGGAAUUCCUGGUGUAGCGGUGAAAUGCGUAGAUAUCUGGAGGAAUACCGGUGGCGAAGGCGGCAUCCUGGACCGAGAUUGACACUGAUGAGCGAAAGCUAGGGGAGCAAACGGG